CCUACGGGAGGCAGCAGUGAGGAAUAUUGGUCAAUGGACGAGAGUCUGAACCAGCCAAGUAGCGUGAAGGAUGACUGCCCUAUGGGUUGUAAACUUCUUUUAUAUGGGAAUAAAAUGUUCCACGUGUGGGCUUUUGUAUGUACCAUAUGAAUAAGGAUCGGCUAACUCCGUGCCAGCAGCCGCGGUAAUACGGAGGAGCCGAGCGUUAUCCGGAUUUAUUGGGGUUAAAGGGAGCGUAGGUGGAUUGUUAAGUCAGUUGUGAAAGUUUGCGGCUCAACCGUAAAAUUGCAGUUGAAACUGGCAGUCUUGAGUACAGUAGAGGUGGGCGGAAUUCGUGGUGAAGCGGUGAAAUGCUUAGAUAUCACGAAGAACCCCGAUUGCGAAGGCAGCUCACUGGACUGCAACUGACACUGAGGCUCGAAAGUGUGGGUAUCAAACAGGAUUAGAUACCCGGGUAGUC
rnacentral:rRNA from 1 species